GUACAAAGCAAACUUCUAAUGCACUGCUGGUUUACAUUUCCUGUAUUUUCAGUCUAAACAAAAAUAAAAAGAACAAAACAGCUAAAAUGAUGAGGGAAAGCACAGAUCAUUCCUAAACAGUCAAUUCUAGAGCCAGUCCUUCAGUUCAAGAAUAACUCAACAGCCUAGAGAGAAGAAAAUAAGAAGCUAUAGUGAACAAAAGAAGAAAAAUGAAAAGGUGACCACCAGGAGAAUGAAGUAUAUUGGAGAAGUGCUGAUGGAUUUAUUAGUUUCAAAAUUUUUUACACUUAUUGAAAAUUCUCAAGUUUUGGCUUUUAACGCUUAAGUACAUUGAUUGUUGUUAAAUCCCAGGUAAAGAAUCCCUUCUUAAAAAGAUGUUUCAUUCAGUAAUACUUUAUGUGAUUAUUAAAAUAACUGUGAAAAUUUUAACAACAUAGAGAAAUACUUUUGAAAUUACAUUAAAGGUGUGGUGGUUCAUGCCUAUAAUCCCAACACUUUGGGAGGCCAAGGUGGGUGG
rnacentral:lncRNA from 1 species